rnacentral:rRNA from 1 species
CCUACUGGCGGCAGCAGUGAGGAAUAUUGGUCAAUGGUCGGGAGACUGAACCAGCCAAGCCGCGUGAGGGAGGAAGGUACAGAGUAUCGUAAACCUCUUUUGUCAGGGAACAAAGACUGGGACGCGUCCCCGGAUGAGUGUACCUGAAGAAAAAGCAUCGGCUAACUCCGUGCCAGCAGCCGCGGUAAUACGGAGGAUGCGAGCGUUAUCCGGAUUUAUUGGGUUUAAAGGGUGCGUAGGCGGAACAUUAAGUCAGCGGUAAAAGCGAGGGGCUCAACCCCUUUAAGCCGUUGAAACUGGUGAUCUUGAGUGGGCGAGAAGUAUGCGGAAUGCGUGUUGUAGCGGUGAAAUGCAUAGAUAUCACGCAGAACUCCGAUUGCGAAGGCAGCAUACCGGCGCCCGACUGACGCUGAGGCACGAAAGCGUGGGGAUCGAACAGGAUUAGAUACCCUUGUAGUC